GAAUUCUACCUAGAUCCUACCUACUCUCAGGGUUCUGACAGGUGGAGAAGAUAAGACGAUUAUACUGCAAGGGAAAACAUGGGGUUCCAGAAGUCAGAGGAUGUGGUUGAUGGAGGGCUUGGAAAAAGAUGUUAGGAAAAGAGAAAGAGGAGAUGCAAUACCGAUUAAAAGGAAGAGGUGGAUAAAGAAGAAAAAAAGACAGAAGAAAAGAAAGGAAAAAGAAAGAGAAAGAAAGAAAGAGAAAGAAAAGAAUAGAAUAGAAUUUGGUGUCCAUAAAAUGUUUUGAGGCCC
rnacentral:lncRNA from 10 species